rnacentral:rRNA from 1 species
CCUACGGGUGGCUGCAGUGAGGAAUAUUGGUCAAUGGGCGUAAGCCUGAACCAGCCAAGUCGCGUGAGGGAUGAAGGUUCUAUGGAUCGUAAACCUCUUUUAUAAGGGAAUAAAGUGUGGGACGUGUCCUAUUUUGUAUGUACCUUAUGAAUAAGGAUCGGCUAACUCCGUGCCAGCAGCCGCGGUAAUACGGAGGAUCCGAGCGUUAUACGGAUUUAUUGGGUUUAAAUGGGGCGUAGGCGGCCGUUUAAGUCAGCGGUGAAAGUCUGUGGCUCAACCAUAGAAUUGCCGUUGAUACUGGGGGUCUUGAGUAUGUUUGAGGCAGGCGGAAUGCGUGGUGUAGCGGUGAAAUGCUUAGAUAGCACGCAGAACCCCGAGUGCGAAGGCAGCCUGCCAAGCCAUGACUGACGCUGAUGCACGAAAGCGUGGGGAUCAAACAGGAUUAGAUACCCGGGUAGUC